rnacentral:rRNA from 1 species
CAUCACUACGCUAGAUGCAUAUCAAUAAGCGGAGGAAAAGGAACUAACAAGGAUUCCCCUAGUAACGGCGAGUGAAGCGGGAAGAGCUCAAAUUUGAAAUCUUAAAGGGUUUCCCUUUACGAAUUGUAGUUUAAAGAAGUGUUUUCUGUUGGAGUUUUGGUAAAAGUUCUUUGGAAUAGGACAUCAUAGAGGGUGAGAAUCCCGUAUUUGACCAUUAUUUCCAGCUGUGUGAUACACUUUCAAAGAGUCGGAUUGUUUGGGAAUGCAGUCCAAAAUGGGUGGUAAAUCUCAUCUAAAGCUAAAUAUUGGCGGGAGACCGAUAGCGAACAAGUACCGUGAGGGAAAGAUGAAAAGAACUUUGAAAAGAGAGUUAAACAGUACGUGAAAUUGUCAAAAGGGAAGCGUUUGACACCAGUGUUGUUUUCUCGAAAAUCAAUUAAAAAUGAUGGGAUUUUGUGUUGUAUUGACUUUAUCAGCUUUCUGCACUUUUUUCUUAUCUUUUUUAAUGCACUUUUCGUUUAACAAGUCAACAUCAAUUUCUUUUGUUGUAAAAGAGCCAUUGGAAGGUGGCUUUCUUUUCGGAGAAAGUGUUUAUAGCCUUUGGCUUCUGCAAUCGGAGAGAUUGAGGUCUGCAGCGUGGAUCCUUCGGGGUUAGAUGCAUUUGUGCUAAGUUAUAGCCUUUCAUAGACAACUUGUUGACUAUGAUCAGUCAUGUAGCUUACUCGCUUAUGUCAUUUUACCUACGCUUAGGAUGUUGACGAGACUGUCGAUCUC